rnacentral:rRNA from 1 species
UACGUAGGGUGCAAGCGUUAAUCGGAAUUACUGGGCGUAAAGCGUGCGCAGGCGGUUUUGUAAGUCAGAUGUGAAAUCCCCGGGCUUAACCUGGGAAUGGCAUUUGGGACUGCAAGGCUGGAGUGCGGCAGAGGAGACUGGAAUUCCACGUGUAGCAGUGAAAUGCGUAGAGAUGUGGAGGAACACCAAUGGCGAAGGCAGCCCCCUGGGAUGACAACUGACGCUCAUGCACGAAAGCGUGGGGAGCAAACAGG